rnacentral:rRNA from 1 species
GAGCGGCUUCUGGACUGACACUGACACUGAGGUGCGAAGCGUGGGUAGCAAACAGGAUUAGAUACCCUGGUAGUCCACGCCGUAAACGAUGUCGACCAGCCGUUGGGUGCCUAGCGCACUUUGUGGCGAAGUUAACGCGAUAAGUCGACCGCCUGGGGAGUACGGCCGCAAGGUUAAAACUCAAAUGAAUUGACGGGGGCCCGCACAAGCGGUGGAGCAUGUGGUUUAAUUCGAUGCAACGCGAAGAACCUUACCUACUCUUGACAUCUACAGAAGCCGGAAGAGAUUCUGGUGUGCCUUCGGGAACUGUAAGACAGGUGCUGCAUGGCUGUCGUCAGCUCGUGUUGUGAAAUGUUGGGUUAAGUCCCGUAACGAGCGCAACCCUUGUCCUUAUUUGCCAGCGCGUAAUGGCGGGAACUCUAAGGAGA